GACGAACGCUGGCGGCGUGCUUAACACAUGCAAGUCGAACGGUGAAGCGAGUGCUUGCACUCGUGGAUCAGUGGCGAACGGGUGAGUAACACGUGAGUAACCUGCCCAUCACUCUGGGAUAAGCACUGGAAACGGUGUCUAAUACUGGAUACGACCAACCCUUGCAUGGGGUGUUGGUGGAAAGAUUUAUCGGUGAUGGAUGGACUCGCGGCCUAUCAGCUUGUUGGCGGGGUAAUGGCCCACCAAGGCGACGACGGGUAGCCGGCCUGAGAGGGUGACCGGCCACACUGGGACUGAGACACGGCCCAGACUCCUACGGGAGGCAGCAGUGGGGAAUAAUGCACAAUGGGCGAAAGCCUGAUGCAGCGACGCCGCGUGAGGGAUGACGGCCUUCGGGUUGUAAACCUCUUUCAGCAGGGAAGAAGCGAAAGUGACGGUACCUGCAGAAGAAGCACCGGCUAACUACGUG
rnacentral:rRNA from 1 species